rnacentral:lncRNA from 1 species
AACAGUCGCUCGGUUUGAGCUCAAAUAAAUGCAGGGAUGCCUCGGCUGGGAGCAGUCCGCCGCCUCCCUCCGAGCGCAGGACGCUCCGACGCCCGCUUGCCCGCAGGCCACCGCAGACUGGGAAUUACACAGCAAGAUGGCUUUCCCUACUCCAUCGUGGCUAGAGCCUCUGCAAGGGCUGAAGCCCUUUGAUCUUGGCUUCAUUUGGAUACAUUUCAAGGGCCUUACUGGCUUUGGGCAAGUGCUGAAGUUCACUCAUUUUCUAUUGGUUGUUUCUCCCCAUGAAAGACAUUGAACAUAAGUGGUGUGGAAUAAUGUUAAGCUUCUCUGAUGGGUCCUAAAUGGUUGAAGAACACCCCUCAAGAGAUGGGAAGAUUCUAAGAGCCAGAGAGAAUGGAUUACUCCAAGGCAACACAAUGGGACUGAUGACCACAUGAACUCUUAGAGACUGUAGCAGCUUGCACCAGGCCUGUACAGGUUCAAGCCAGAUGGGGUUCCAGCACUGAGAGGGGAAUUGGACAUGGACGUCUACUCCUUACUAAGAAGCUCUCUGCAACUGAUACCGACUUGCAAAGGAAAAUAGUUUUCUCCAAUGAAGUACCACUGAGUAUAUUAACCAUACUUCAAGGUAUGUGGAGCCUGACUGUGAAACUCACAUAAGACCUAUGCAACCAUGAGUAACUCCACUUCUGGAUAAUCCAGUGCCUUCUUUCUGACCGCCACAGGCAUGAGGUAGUGUGCAUUUUCUCCUGAACUGCCACCUAAGGGAAUAAACAAAUGGAGUAUUUCUCCCUGAAGAGCUUGGCAGUGGGAUAGGAGACAUCCUCUCCAGUGUAGACUACAGCUUCCAUUCCCCCACCUCAGAUAACACAAACAGUGUGCACACAUGGCUCAGCCUUCUGCAAACUUUUGGCCAAGGGAGAAAGCUCAGAGCUUGGCUGAUAUGCUGGACUCCCCAAAGUCUCCAGGUCUCCAGGGACGGUGCCUGUAACUUACCUGAAGAGGAACUGGUAGACAAGUCAUCUGAAAACAACUGAGGAAUCCUGCCCUGACCUAUCAGCUGUCUGCUGCCUCCCAACUCUUGCAGCCUUGGGAGAGGCACAUUCACUUGGAAAUGUGAUGAACAGGUGUCCAUUUACUUUGGAUUCAGGCCAAAGAGUCAAGCCAAUGUCAUUUGUAAGGCACAAUCAUUUUAAGUUCAGACCCAUGAAGAUCUUUUCUUGUACUUUUGUCUGAAUUAGAGAAACAACUUAAGCUGUCGUGCUUGGGGACAUUACUUUGAGAAAGCUACUUUGGAGGCACAACUCCCUAGGGUAAAGAAGAAAUAGCUUCCCGUCUUCCUAUGCAGGAAACUGCUGAAAUAGCUGACUCUACCCUCAAA